GCCAGUGUGGUGUAGUGGUUUGAAUAUUGGACUCUGCUUCUGGAGAUGAGGGUUCAAAUCCCAUCUCAGCCA